UUGCGGUUAAAAAGCUCGUAGUUGGAUUUCUGUUGAGGGCGACCGGUACAGCCUUUGGUUGUCAUCUGGUUCGGUCUUGGCAUCCUCUUGGGGAACGUUUUCGUGCUUGAUUGCAUGGGGCGGAAUUCAAGACUUUUACUUUGAGGAAAUUAGAGUGUUCACGGCAAGCAAGUGCUUUGAAUACAUUAGCAUGGAAUAAUAAUAUAGGACCUUUGUUCUAUUUUGUUGGUUUCUAGAACUAAGGUAAUGAUUAAUAGGGACAAUUGGGGGCAUUCGUAUUAACACGUCAGAGGUGGAAUUCUAGGAUUGUGUUACGACGAACUACUGCGAAAGCAUUUGCCAAGGAUGUUUUCAUUGAUCAAGAACGAAAGUAUGGGGAUCGAAGACGAUUAGAUACCGUCGUAGUCUAUACCAUAAACUAUGCCAACUAGAGAUUCGGCGUCGUUCCACAAAUGACUCGCUGAGCAUCUUAUGAGAAAUCAAAGUUUUUGGGUUCCGGGGGGAGUAUGGUCGCAAGGCUGAAACUUAAAGGAAUUGACGGAAGGGCACCACCAGGAGUGGAGCCUGCGGCUUAAUUUGACUCAACACGGGAAAACUUACCAGGUCCAGACAUAGUAAGGAUUGACAGAUUGAUAACUCUUUCUUGAUUCUAUGGGUGGUGGUGCAUGGCCGU
rnacentral:rRNA from 1 species